GACGAACGCUGACGGCGUGCUUAACACAUGCAAGUCGAAGGGAGUGGCGAACGGGUGAGUAACACGUGAGUAACCUGCCCUUUUCUUUGGGCUAAUCCUGGGAAACUGGGUCUAAUACUGGAUGGAUUGGGAUGGGCUCGCGGCUUAUCAGUUUGUUGGUGGGGUGCUGGCUUACCAAGGCUUUGACGGGUAGCCGGCCUGAGAGGGUGGUCGGUCACGCUGACACUGAGAUACGUCCCAGACGCGUACGGGGGGGAGCAGUGGGGGAUAGUGUGAAAGGGACGAAAGUGUGAUGCAGCGACGGUGGGGGGGGGAUGAAGGUCUUCGGGUUGUAAAAUCCGGUGGCACGCGGAAUGGUAGUGGGUAAAGAAGCGCCGGCUAACUACGUGCCAGCAGACGCGGUAAUAC
rnacentral:rRNA from 1 species